rnacentral:rRNA from 1 species
AUUGAACGCUGGCGGCAGGCCUAACACAUGCAAGUCGAACGAGUGGCGGACGGGUGAGUAAUGUCUGGGAAACUGCCUGAUGGAGGGGGAUAACUACUGGAAACGGUAGCUAAUACCGCAUACCAUCGGAUGUGCCGAGAUGGGAUUAGCUAGUAGGUGGGGUAAAGGCUCACCUAGGCGACGAUCCCUAGCUGGUCUGAGAGGAUGACCAGCCACACUGGAACUGAGACACGGCCCAGACUCCUACGGGAGGCAGCAGUGGGGAAUCUUGCACAAUGGGCGCAAGCCUGAUGCAGCCAUGCCGCGUGUAUGAAGAAGGCCUUCGGGUUGUAAAGUACUUUCAGCGGGGAGGCGUUACCCGCAGAAGAAGCCCCGGCUAACUCCGUGCCAGCCGCCGCGGUAAUAC